UCACCGUUUGCACGGGCAGUUUCGUUAGAGUUCCCGACAUUACUCGCUGGUAACUAACGAUAGGGGUUGCGCUCGUUGCGGGACUUAACCCAACACCUCACGGCACGAGCUGACGGCAGCCAUGCAGCACCUGAACCGGAGGUCCCCGAAGGGAAAGCCCCAUCUCUGGAGCGGUCCUCCGUUGUCUAGCCCAGGUAAGGUUCUUCGCGUUGCGUCGAAUUGAACCACAUGCUCCACCGCUUGUGCGGGCCCCCGUCAAUUCCUUUGAGUUUCAGCCUUGCGGCCGUACUCCCCAGGCGGGGUACUUACUGCGUUAGCGACGGCACCGAAGGGGUCGCUCCCCCCGACGCCUAGUACCCAUCGUUUACGGCGUGGACUAC
rnacentral:misc_RNA from 1 species